GGUUAAGUGACUAAGCGUACACGGUGGAUGCCUUGGCAGUCAGAGGCGAUGAAAGACGUAGUAACUUGCGAUAAGCCCAGAUUAGGUAGUAACAACCAUUUGAGUCUGGGAUUUCUGAAUGGGGAAACCCACGUGCAUAAGCACGUAUCCUUACCUGAAUACAUAGGGUAAGGAGGCGAACCGGGGGAACUGAAACAUCUAAGUACCCCGAGGAAAAGAAAUCAACCGAGAUUCCGAAAGUAGCGGCGAGCGAAAUUGGACUAGCCCUUAAGCUUUACACGCGUUAGACGAACGGUCUGGAAAGUCCGACGAUACAGGGUGAUAGUCCCGUAGUUGACGACGUGUGUUCAGUGAAAUCGAGUAGGGCGGGACACGUGAUAUCCUGUCUGAAUAUGGGGGGACCAUCCUCCAAGGCUAAAUACUACUGACUGACCGAUAGUGAACCAGUACCGUGAGGGAAAGGCGAAAAGAACCCCUGUGAGGGGAGUGAAAUAGAACCUGAAACCGUGUACGUACAAGCAGUAGGAGCACCUUCGUGGUGUGACUGCGUACCUUUUGUAUAAUGGGUCAGCGACUUAUAUUCAGUGGCAAGGUUAACCAUCUAGGGGAGCCGUAGGGAAACCGAGUCUUAACUGGGCGUUCAGUCUCUGGAUAUAGACCCGAAACCAGGUGAUCUAGCCAUGGGCAGGUUGAAGGUUGAGUAACAUCAACUGGAGGACCGAACCGACUAAUGUUGAAAAAUUAGCGGAUGACUUGUGGCUAGGGGUGAAAGGCCAAUCAAACCUGGAGAUAGCUGGUUCUCCCCGAAAGCUAUUUAGGUAGCGCCUCGGACGAAUACUACUGGGGGUAGAGCACUGUUAAGGCUAGGGGGUCAUCCCGACUUACCAACCCUUUGCAAACUCCGAAUACCAGUAAGUACUAUCCGGGAGACACACGGCGGGUGCUAACGUCCGUCGUGGAGAGGGAAACAACCCAGACCGCCAGCUAAGGUCCCAAAUUACUACUAAGUGGGAAACGAUGUGGGAAGGCUCAGACAGCCAGGAUGUUGGCUUAGAAGCAGCCAUCAUUUAAAGAAAGCGUAAUAGCUCACUGGUCGAGUCGGCCUGCGCGGAAGAUGUAACGGGGCUAAGUAGUAAACCGAAGCUGCGGCAAUAUACUUUUGUAUAUUGGGUAGGGGAGCGUUCUGUAAGCGGUUGAAGGUGUGUGGUAACGCAUGCUGGACGUAUCAGAAGUGCGAAUGCUGACAUGAGUAACGAUAAAGGGGGUGAAAAACCUCCUCGCCGGAAGACCAAGGGUUCCUGUCCAACGUUAAUCGGGGCAGGGUAAGUCGACCCCUAAGGCGAGGCCGAAAGGCGUAGUCGAUGGGAAACGGGUUAAUAUUCCCGUACUUCUUACAAUUGCGAUGGGGGGACGGAGAAGGCUAGGUGGGCCUGGCGACGGUUGUCCAGGUUCAAGUGCGUAGGCUUGAGAGUUAGGUAAAUCCGGCUCUUUCUAAGGCUGAGACACGACGUCGAGCACCUACGGGUGUGAAGUCAUUGAUGCCAUGCUUCCAGGAAAAGCCUCUAAGCUUCAGAUUGUAAGGAAUCGUACCCCAAACCGACACAGGUGGUCGGGUAGAGAAUACCAAGGCGCUUGAGAGAACUCGGGUGAAGGAACUAGGCAAAAUGGUACCGUAACUUCGGGAGAAGGUACGCUCUUGAUGGUGAAGUCCCUCGCGGAUGGAGCUGACGAGAGUCGCAGAUACCAGGUGGCUGCAACUGUUUAUUAAAAACACAGCACUGUGCAAAAUCGUAAGAUGACGUAUACGGUGUGACGCCUGCCCGGUGCCGGAAGGUUAAUUGAUGGGGUUAGACUUCGGUCGAAGCUCUUGAUCGAAGCCCCGGUAAACGGCGGCCGUAACUAUAACGGUCCUAAGGUAGCGAAAUUCCUUGUCGGGUAAGUUCCGACCUGCACGAAUGGCGUAAUGAUGGCCACGCUGUCUCCACCCGAGACUCAGUGAAAUUGAAAUCGCUGUGAAGAUGCAGUGUACCCGCGGCUAGACGGAAAGACCCCGUGAACCUUUACUACAGCUUGGCACUGAACAUUGACCCUACAUGUGUAGGAUAGGUGGGAGGCUUUGAAGCAGGUACGCCAGUAUCUGUGGAGCCGUCCUUGAAAUACCACCCUUGUAGUGUUGAUGUUCUAACGUCGACCCCUUAUCGGGGUUGCGGACAGUGCCUGGUGGGUAGUUUGACUGGGGCGGUCUCCUCCCAAAGAGUAACGGAGGAGCACGAAGGUGGGCUAAUCACGGUUGGACAUCGUGAGGUUAGUGCAAUGGCAUAAGCCCGCUUGACUGCGAGAAUGACAAUUCGAGCAGGUGCGAAAGCAGGUCAUAGUGAUCCGGUGGUUCUGAAUGGAAGGGCCAUCGCUCAACGGAUAAAAGGUACUCCGGGGAUAACAGGCUGAUACCGCCCAAGAGUUCAUAUCGACGGCGGUGUUUGGCACCUCGAUGUCGGCUCAUCACAUCCUGGGGCUGAAGUCGGUCCCAAGGGUAUGGCUGUUCGCCAUUUAAAGUGGUACGCGAGCUGGGUUUAGAACGUCGUGAGACAGUUCGGUCCCUAUCUGCCGUGGGCGUUGGAAGAUUGAAGGGGGCUGCUCCUAGUACGAGAGGACCGGAGUGGACGAACCUCUGGUGUUCGGGUUGUGUCGCCAGACGCAUUGCCCGGUAGCUAAGUUCGGAAUCGAUAACCGCUGAAAGCAUCUAAGCGGGAAGCGAGCCCUGAGAUGAGUCUUCCCUGAUACUUUAAGUAUCCUAAAGGGUUGUCGGAGACUACGACGUUGAUAGGUCAGGUGUGUAAGUGCUGUGAGGCAUUGAGCUAACUGAUACUAAUUGCCCGUGAGGCUUAACCAU
rnacentral:rRNA from 1 species